GACUCUGCUUCCUGGAGACUGUUAGAGCAAUUACGUGUGUGUGGAACAGGGGUUGUUACUAAUGAGAAAAAAAUGUUUUCUCUUAAAAUACAAAUCUGAAAGUUGCAGAUAAAGGUCUCUGAAAGCCUGUUUUUUUUUAUUAUAACUUGUCAUACCCUUUUUUUUUUUUUCCCUUUAGAAAAUCUUCCUUUUUUCACUAUAAGGUAGGUUCACAGUAUAGAUUGUAUCAUCUGUAUACGUGUAUGAUUUAGUGCUUGCAGUAUUUGCUUCUGUAUUUUGGUAUACUUUGGUAUGCAGGUAAUGAGGACAUACAAGGACAGUUUCAUGCAAGUUUGUACUAAAACUCAGAUAUAUAAAAGCUGAAAUAGUCACUUGUUCAGCUUUGUUUCACCUGAGCAGAUAGAAGCACUUCAGUGGGGCUGUUGGGCUGAGGGUAUGAAAAAAGAGGCAAGCUGGCUCUUCUGUCUGCUGCUUCUCAGGUAGGUUCCUGUUGGUGGAGGGGGAAGUUGUAGCUCUUAGGAAGAUUUCAGUGUUGUUUUCUUGGCUCAUUGCUUAUUUUAAGCAAACUUCUAUAAGUGAUUUCUUGGUCAACUUCAGUGCUGGAUGGUCAUGAACAGCCUAUUGCCCUUAUCAUUGGUCCAUAGCAAAAUGGAGCCAAUAUCUUCCUGCAUAUUUUGAUGUCCACACUUUCAUUUCUCUAUUGAAUGAAGAAAAUCUCACUGUAUUACCUGCCUAAGUCCUAGCAUAGUGUAACUCGCUCUUGGUGUCUAAUCAAUUGCUUGUGAGUGAAUAUGAGUGAGUAAUUUUUGUAUGUCAACAUAGCAUGAUCUACUUGUAAGGGGUGAGAUAGAAGAUAGUAUGACAAGUAUGGAAGACAAUGAAAAGGCAAAUUGUCUGUGAUUGAGAGAGGUGUCAGAUCAUAACCUAAAAAGAUAAAGAGAUUUAUAGGUACAGAAAAGCUCAGCUGUAAAGUUUGGGCUAUAAAAGUUGUUCUAACACAAUUGAGAAAAAUUAAGGCAGCAGAAGAGAUGAUGUAGCUCAAGUUAAAUGUUUGAUGGGAUCUUCUGGCACUGAUUUAUUUAAGUAGUUUUAGAGUAAGCGAGACAAAGAGGAGAUCCUUGACAGCAUAUAAAGACAAAGGCAGAUCUUGGAGACACUUUGAGAGUGGGAAAUACUGCCCUGAUCUAGCCAGUGUGCAGCCUAAGUAAGCAGAUGCUAAAGAGAUACUCAUCAGGCUUGCACCCUGAUCUCAUGUGCUUGUGGUAUCAGGUUGUUUCCCAAGACCAGGGCUGUGCAGGUCAGUUGGGCCAGGGCAGAACCUCACGAGCGGAGGGCUCAGUGUUGCCCUGGCCGUACUCCUGGGCCGUGUGUGACACAGGGCAAAGCUGCACUGUCCAUCUGUGGCUGCCAUCACCAAAUGGUGCUGGGACGUGUUGUAAACUUUCCACCUUGUGGAAUAGUUCGAGCUGAAGCACACCUUUCUGGUUCCAAACCCUGUCUGAGCUCUUGCUUCCAGAAGAGGAAUCCCGUCCCACACAGUGCUGGAACCUUUGUAGUUGAUACCAUAUGAAAGAUGUUUUAAAGCUGUAGUACGAAAGCACUACCAAAAUAAAACUGAGCCUGGCUAGAAGCUGUAGUACUCCAUUUUGCUGUUUGCCGCACCGUGUGCAGCAGCUGGGCGCUCCGUUUCUCUCCUCCGGAGCCGCACGAGGUGCCGGCAGGUCCCCUCAGCCCUCACACGGCUGCAGGGCAGCGCGGCGGUGGCCUCACACGUACGAG
ensembl:lncRNA